UCCUUCGGGGUCGGGUGAAAUUCCCAACCGGCGGUGAUGAGGCCGAGAGCCUCUUAGUCCGUGACCCGGUUUUGCUUUUAGCAGAAACGGUGGAUUCGGUGCAAUUCCGAAGCCGACAGUAUAGUCUGGAUGGGAGAAGGA
rnacentral:ncRNA from 1 species